GUGGAAAGCUGCUACGGCAGUACUGACAGAGGAGCCCGCGGCGCAUUAGCUAGUUGGUGGGGUAACGGCUCACCAAGGCGACGAUGCGUAGCCGACCUGAGAGGGUGACCGGCCACACUGGGACUGAGACACGGCCCAGACUCCUACGGGAGGCAGCAGUAGGGAAUCUUCCGCAAUGGGCGCAAGCCUGACGGAGCAACGCCGCGUGAGCGAAGAAGGCCUUCGGGUUGUAAAGCUCAGUCAUUCGGGAAGAGCGGACGGGAGAGGGAAUGCUCCUGUCGAGACGGUACCGGAAGAGGAAGCCCCGGCUAACUACGUG
rnacentral:rRNA from 1 species